AUUGAACGCUGGCGGCAGGCUUAACACAUGCAAGUCGAGCGGGGUGAUGGUGCUUGCACUAUCACUUAGCGGCGGACGGGUGGGUAAUGCUUAGGAAUCUGCCUAUUAGUGGGGGACAACAUCUCGACAGGGAUGCUAAUACCGCAUACGUCCUACGGGAGAAAGCAGGGGAUCACCUGUGACGUUUCGCUAAUAGAUGAGCCUAAGUCGGAUUAGCUAGUUGGUGGGGUAAAGGCCUACCAAGGCGACGAUCUGUAGCGGGUCUGGGAGGAUGAUCCGCCACACUGGGACUGAGACACGGCCCAGACUCCUACGGGAGGCAGCAGUGGGGAAUAUUGGACAAUGGGGGGAACCCUGAUCCAGCCAUGCCGCGUGUGUGAAGAAGGCCUUAUGGUUGUAAAGCACUUUAAGCGAGGAGGAGGCUCUUUUGGUUAAUACCCAAGAUGAGUGGACGUUACUCGCAGAAUAAGCACCGGCUAACUCUGUGCCAGCCGCCGCCGUAA
rnacentral:rRNA from 1 species